rnacentral:lncRNA from 1 species
UGUCUGUUUCUUGGUUCAUACAUCGUUGCUAAUAUAAUGAAAUUUUAUGCGACUGUUAUACAAGUGAGAUGUUUAGUUAGCUAUAACACCAGGUUUAAUUCACCUUUUUCUACGUGAGGAAAUGCCUGCAUCUAGUCAGGAAUAUAUGACAGUUGUUAUCCAUACGUUUGAUGUGCUUGAUCUUUGAUUUUGACAUUUGAUUACAGACUUUCCGUUUUGAAUUUUCU